GAUUUCUCAAUUUCAUGUCAUCGUCAGCUUCAAACGCUGCUUCUUCACUGGAGUGAUUAUGCCGUAGUACUUGUUGGUGCACUAUUGUCAAUACUGUCUACCUUCCGCACAGGAUUUCUAUCUGCAUUGGCUUGCUUUUAGUCUUGAAUAAGUAAAUUGGACCUUCUUCACUGUGUCCCAUACUAGGUUUCAUCCCAAAAGCUUGUCAUUACCGGGCUCGACUACCCUAACGAAUAUAAAUAUUCAUGUAUUUUUUUCUAAUUUAAAAAAUAAGAUUUAAUAAAAUUUCAAGAAUAUUACUUUCAAUUCUCACAUAUUUUUAACAUUUCUUGCAAGAAAGGAAAAUUCAAUGGAGCUCGAACUUUUUAACAAAGAGAUAGAGAGAGUACCAUUGACGGAGAUCUUGGGGUUACUGUUCUGAUCGUCAAUUUCAAUGGCGGAAGUUUCCUUCUGCUUUGCCAUUGUUGAGAAAUUAGCUUACAACGGAGCAACCUUUAGUUUUGACGAGACCCUGUCGGAGUAAUGUCAGCGUUUCUUCAAUUUGGUUUAAUUUUUCGAUCAAAUUAAUCCAAUCUUACCUUUUUGGACAUGGUAUGAACCAAGCACCUGAGGCACGAAAAAACCAGCAAAAUGCCAUCUCAUUUAUACGAUAUUAUGAAGGGAAAGUUUUACCAGCAUUAAUACUCACUCCGUUACAGUUAGAUAAAUU
rnacentral:lncRNA from 1 species